AUUGAACGCUGGCGGCAUGCCUUACACAUGCAAGUCGAACGGCAGCACGGGAGCAAUCCUGGUGGCGAGUGGCGAACGGGUGAGUAAUAUAUCGGAACGUGCCCAGUAGUGGGGGAUAACUGCUCGAAAGAGCAGCUAAUACCGCAUACGACCUGAGGGCGAAAGGGGGGGAUCGCAAGACCUCUCGCUAUUGGAGCGGCCGAUAUCAGAGUAGCUAGUUGGUGGGGGAAAGGCCUACCAAGGCAACGAUCUGUAGUUGGUCUGAGAGGACGACCAGCCACACUGGGACUGAGACACGGCCCAGACUCCUACGGGAGGCAGCAGUGGGGAAUUUUGGACAAUGGGCGCAAGCCUGAUCCAGCAAUGCCGCGUGCAGGAAGAAGGCCUUCGGGUUGUAAACUGCUUUUGUCAGGGAAGAAAUCCUCUAGGUUAAUACCCUUGGGGGGAUGACGGUACCUGAAGAAUAAGCACCGGCUAACUACGUGCCAGCCGCCGCCGUAACAC
rnacentral:rRNA from 1 species